rnacentral:rRNA from 1 species
UGACCAUAAGUUUAACGGCCGCGGUAUUUUGACCGUGCAAAGGUAGCGCAAUCACUUGUCUUUUAAAUAAAGACCUGUAUGAAUGGCCAAACGAGGGCUUAACUGUCUCCCUUUUCAAGUCAAUGAAAUUGAUCUACCCGUGCAGAAGCGGGUAUAAUAAUACAAGACGAGAAGACCCUUUGGAGCUUAAGGUACAAAACUCAACCACGUUAAGCAACUCAAUGAAAAGCAAAAACUUUGUGAAACAUGAAAUUUUACCUUCGGUUGGGGCGACCGCGGAGGAGAAAAAAGCCUCCAAGUGGAAUGGAACAAACUCCUAAAACCAAGAGAAACAUCUCUAAGCCACAGAACAUCUGACCAAACAUGAUCCGGCCCAAUAGAGCCGAUCAACGAACCAAGUUACCCUAGGGAUAACAGCGCAAUCCCCUCCCAGAGUCCAUAUCGACGAGGGGGUUUACGACCUCGAUGUUGGAUCAGGACAUCCUAAUGGUGCAGCCGCUAUUAAGGGUUCGUUUGUUCAACGAUUAAAGUCCU